rnacentral:rRNA from 1 species
GAUGAACGCUGGCGGCGUGCCUAAUACAUGCAAGUCGAGCGAACAGACGAGGAGCUUGCUCCUCUGACGUUAGCGGCGGACGGGUGAGUAACACGUGGAUAACCUACCUAUAAGACUGGGAUAACUUCGGGAAACCGGAGCUAAUACCGGAUAAUAUAUUGAACCGCAUGGUUCAAUAGUGAAAGACGGUUUUGCUGUCACUUAUAGAUGGCUCCGCGCCGCAUUAGCUAGUUGGUAAGGUAACGGCUUACCAAGGCAACGAUGCGUAGCCGACCUGAGAGGGUGAUCGGCCACACUGGAACUGAGACACGGUCCAGACUCCUACGGGAGGCAGCAGUAGGGAAUCUUCCGCAAUGGGCGAAAGCUUGACGGAGCAACGCCGCGUGAGUGAUGAAGGUCUUCGGAUCGUAAAACUCUGUUAUUAGGGAAGAACAAAUGUGUAAGUAACUAUGCACGUCUUGACGGUACCUAAUCAGAAAGCCACGGCUAACUACGUG